AACGAACGCUGGCGGCAGGCUUAACACAUGCAAGUCGAACGCAUCCUUCGGGGUGAGUGGCAGACGGGUGAGUAACGCGUGGGAACGUGCCCUUCAGUUCGGGAUAACCCAGGGAAACUUGGGCUAAUACCGGAUACGUGCGAGAGCAGAAAGAUUUAUCGCUGAAGGAUCGGCCCGCGGCUGAUUAGCUAGUUGGUGGGGUAAUGGCCCACCAAGGCGACGAUCAGUAGCUGGUCUGAGAGGAUGAUCAGCCACAUUGGGACUGAGACACGGCCCAAACUCCUACGGGAGGCAGCAGUGGGGAAUAUUGGACAAUGGGCGCAAGCCUGAUCCAGCCAUGCCGCGUGAGUGAUGAAGGCCUUAGGGUUGUAAAGCUCUUUCGUCCGGGACGAUAAUGACGGUACCGGAAGAAGAAGCCCCGGCUAACUUCGUGCCUGCAGCCGCCGCAG
rnacentral:rRNA from 1 species